GGGGUGGCAGGUAGCCUAGUGGUUAGAGGGGUGGCAGGUAGCCUAGUGGUUAGAGGGGUGGCAGGUAGCCUAGUGGUUAGAGGGGUGGCAGGUAGCCUAGUGGUUAGAGGGGUGGCAGGUAGCCUAGUGGUUAGAGGGGUGGCAGGUAGCCUAGUGGUUAGAGCAGGUAGCCUAGUGGUUAGAGGAGGUAUAUAUAGAGGGGUGGCAGGUAGCCUAGUGGUUAGAGGUGUGGCAGGUAGCCUAGUGGUUAGAGGUGUGGCAGGUAGCCUAGUGGUUAGAGGGGUGGCAGGUAGCCUAGUGGUUAGAGCAGGUAGCCUAGUGGUUAGAGACAGGUAGCUAAGUGGUUAGAGCAGGUAGCCUAGUGGUUAGAGCAGGUAGCCUAGUGGUUAGAGCAGGGAGCCUAGUGGUUAGAGACAGGUAGCCUAGUGGUUAGAGGGGUGGCAGGUAGUCUAGUGGUUUGAGGGGUGGCAGGUAGCCUAGUGGUUAGAGCAGGUAGCCUAGUGGUUAGAGCAGGUAGCCUAGUGGUUAGAGACAGGUAGCUAAGUGGUUAGAGCAGGUAGCCUAGUGGUUAGAGCAGGUAG